rnacentral:lncRNA from 1 species
UUUUUUUUUUUUUUUUAGAUGGAGUUUCGCUUUUGUUGCCCAGGCUGGAGUGCAACGGCAGGAUCUCAGUUCACUGCAACCUCUGCCUCUCUGGUCCAAGUGAUUCUCCUGCCUUAGCCUUCAGAGUAGCUGGGAUUACAGGCAUGCACCACCGUGCUCAGUUAAUUUUGUAUUUUUAGUAGAGACAGGGUUUCAUCAUGUUGGUCAGGCUGGUCUCGAACUUCCAACCUCAGGUGAUCUGCCCGCCUCGGCCUCCCAAAGUGUUUAGAUUACAGGUGUGAGCCACUGCGCCCGGCCACGAAUAUUCUUGUAUUGGGAGCCUUGGGCUUUUAGAGUGACACUUAGCUGAGACUAAGUCGCCCAAAGGUGACCCCAAAGGUUGGUGGGGUGCUCUAGGUGAGCAUGCUUAAGAGUUUGGAGUCCUUAGUCUAGGUUUGUGAAAGAUCUUCUAGAAGCGAGAUUUAUUCAAUUCUAAAGAAAUUACUAAGGAGGGCUUUCAGAAACUCCUUCCCGCUGGGCCUCACAGGACUCUCCUGGACUCGUUGGGUUGAGGUUUGAUCCUCUUUGCAGGCGGGGGGAUGGAUUAGGUGACCCCAGAGGAGCCCUGCUGACACCUGGAUUCCAGCUGCUUUCGUGGCCAUGUGGGGGUGGCUAUGUGCGCCCCGACACGGCGCGCGUGGGUGUCUGUGUGUGUUGUCGGUGGGAGGCGCGUGAGCGUGGCGGCAGGUGGGUGUGUCUGAUGCGCCCCGGCUUGGGGCCGCGCCCGCUGCGCCCACUUGUGGCUCCGCCCGAUAGGAGGCUGAUGACAUGAGGGCGCCGUCUCCCGAGUGAUGGCAGCGCGCGCUGCCUCGCCGCCUCCGCCGCUCAGCCCUGGACUCCUUACGUCAGGGUAGCUGGGUCCCCCCUCCGCGCGGGAGACAGCGAACAGCUAGAGAGCACAGCAGAGCGCGCCGCGGAGCCGGGGCGCCCUCACUGCGCGAGGAGCCCAGCCGAACCCAGCGGAGCGGAGCGGGGCAGGAGGCAGCGCCGCGG